AACGCGAAGAACCUUACCUAGACUUGACAUCUCCUGCAUUACUCUUAAUCGAGGAAGUCCCUUCGGGGACAGGAUGACAGGUGGUGCAUGGUUGUCGUCAGCUCGUGUCGUGAGAUGUUGGGUUAAGUCCCGCAACGAGCGCAACCCUUAUUGUUAGUUGCCAUCAUUAAGUUGGGCACUCUAGCGAGACUGCCCGGGUUAACCGGGAGGAAGGUGGGGAUGACGUCAAAUCAUCAUGCCCCUUAUGUCUAGGGCUACACACGUGCUACAAUGGUCGGUACAAUAAGACGCAAGCCCGCGAGGGGGAGCAAAACUGGAAAACCGAUCUCAGUUCGGAUUGUAGGCUGAAACUCGCCUACAUGAAGCUGGAGUUGCUAGUAAUCGCGAAUCAGCAUGUCGCGGUGAAUACGUUCCCGGGCCUUGUACACACCG
rnacentral:rRNA from 1 species